rnacentral:tRNA from 1 species
GCCCGGCUAGCUCAGUCGGUAGAGCAUGAGACUCAAUCUCAGGGUCGUGGGUUCGUGCCCCACGUUAGGGG